AGGAUAUGGGGUAAUGCCAUCAUUUUGACAGUGUUUACUCUUUGUAGCCAUGAUAUUUCUAGGUUUUGCCAUACAUCUAGUUGUGCCUGGAGUUUGUGGGUUAAGGGGAUAUGAUUUUCUUGGAUCAACUGGCUGUAUGAUUUGGUCAGAUUAUUGAAAUUUAAAUGACAACUUUAUGUACUCUGUUUUAAGCCAAUGUUCUACCCAAGAACAAUAAAUUUCAUCUAGACCAAUUUU